UCAAAUACUCUCAAGAACCAAACCCUAGAGCCUCAACCUAAGAUUCAAGAUCCCUUAAAAUUUCACCAUUAAAUUCCAAAAUUGAUUCAAGAAUUAGAAUCCCCAAACUAAGAUCUUCAAGAAUCAUCCAUCAAAAGCACAAAUAGAGUUCCAAAAGCAACUGUUCAUCCAAAGUUCAUAAUCUAAGGUACGUGGAAUUUUCCUAAAAUCUCAUGGGCAUGGAAAUCAUGAUUUUUAGAAUGGGAUUUUGUAUUUAUGAAGAUAAUCAUGUUUUUAGAAGUUUUGGCAGUAUUGACCCCUCUUUUGUUAUGAUUUUUCCCAUCUUUCAUAUGAUAUGAAUUGUUCUGAAUUGCAUCUUGAAAGCAUGAUACGAAAUGUCUUGAUUUAUACUAUGACUUGAAUAUGAUUUUUGAAAUAAAAAGAGAGGGUUAUGCAUGUUGUGAAAUGUUGAAUAUGCAUAUAAUGAAAGAGUGCAUGGUUUUGCCAAAAGCGCAUGACCACCAUAUGUUUGUAGAACUCUUGCAUAGUUUUGACUUAUGUUUCGAAACAUGAAAUCUCUUAUGCUAUUUGCAAUGUUGGGUGGUCUGAAUUGGGUUUUAAAUGAAAGAAUUAUGCUUAAUGCAUUAUGGCCCAGAAUUGCGACUUGCAAGUCUUGGUAUGACGAUAUCAAAUCAGACAAUGUCACAACAGACACAGAAAUUAGACUUUAUCAGACUUUCAUGAUUUAGAAACCUCAAAAUGAUACAUGUUCAGAAAAGGUUAAAAAUGAGCAUAAAGAGAUGUUAGGUGGUUCCCCGAAGAGGGCACGAGUUCAGAUAACUCAUUGCCCAAAAUCGUGAUUUGCCGAUCCGAGUAUAUUAUUGUACGCUAACGACGACCCUGUGACGUAGUAGAUUCAGAGACUCCCAACCCUUGCGGCAAACUUGGGUUGGAGGCUUCCCCGCCGAGUCAAUGACGGAUUCCAUACAGCCCGUGGAGUAUCAGAAUUAUAGGGGAGUGCCACCUAACUCAGAAGUAAUACAAAGAUUAGAAAAAUGGCAUUGACAGAAAGGUUUUAUGAUUAUCAGAAAUGCCCAUGUGUUUCGAAUUUACAUCUUUCAUGAUGUUUUAUGACGUGCUCUCAACUAUUUUAUUUAUAUAAAAGCUUUAUUUUGGAUUUGCUCUGCGUACCAGUACAUCUGUAUUGACCUCCCUCCCUCCAGGUUCUGAGGCACAGUCUAGGGGUCCUGAUAAGUGGUAGAUUUCAUCAGACAGGAGUGAAGAGUACCAGUUGGUGAGCCUUCUAUAUUUCAGAAGGCCUAGUUUCUUUAAGACAGUUAUUAUUUAUUAUGGUUUUUGGUCUACUGGGAGCCUUGUCCCAGUUUUCAGACAAUUGUUAUUUGAUCACGUAGUAGAGAUUUCGC
rnacentral:lncRNA from 1 species